CGGGAAACUGAGGAUAAUAAUGGAUAUUGAUGGAUGCUGGAAUGCACCAUCAUUUAAAGGUAACACUAAGAAUGAGUCGGCGGCGGAUUAGGUUGUUGGUGAGGUAAUGGCUCACCAAGCCAAAGAUCCGUACGGGCCAUGAGAGUGGUAGCCCGGAGAAGAACACUGAGAAACUGGUUCUAGCCCCACGGGGUGCAGCAGGCGCGAAAACUUUACGCUGCACGAAAGUGUGAUAAGGGAAUCCUAAGUGCUCAUACACAGUAUGGGCUUUUGCCAAGGGUAAAUACCUUGGAGAAUAAGUGGUGGGUAAGACUGGUGCCAGCAGCCGCGGUAACCCCAGCGCCACGAGUGGGAACCAUAUUUAUUUGGCCUAAAGCGUCCGUAGCUGGUUUUGUAAAUCUUUUGUGAAAUCGGAAGGCUCAACCUUCCGGCAUGCAGAAGACACUGCAAGACUUGAGACCGGGAGGGGUAAGGAGUAUUCCUAGGGAACCGGUAAAAUGGGAUAAUCCUAGGAGGACUACCUGUGGCGAAGGCGCCUUACCAGAACGGGUUUGACAGUGAGGGACGAAGGCUAGGGGAGCGAACCGGAUUAGAUACCCGAGUAGUCCUAGCAGUAAACGCUGCGAGCUAGGUGUUGCAUCAUCUUCGAGAUUAUGCAGUGUCGAAGCGAA
rnacentral:rRNA from 1 species